AACGCACCUUGCGCUCCCUGGUAUUCCGGGGAGCACGCCUGUUUGAGUGUCGUGAAAUCAUCAUGGUCAUGAUCUUUAAUUAAUCAUGGCUUGGUUUUGGAGGUUAUGUUGGCUUUUUAUUAAGUUGACUCCUCUUAAAUACAUUAGCUCAGUGUUUAAUGCUUAGAGCGGUUCACGGUGUGAUAAUUAUCUACGCCAUUUGACUUUGAAGCAAACUUAUGGGAACCUGCUUAUAACCGUCCUUUCGAGGACAAUCUUUGACAUUUUGACCUCAAAUCAGGUAGGACUACCCGCUGAACUUAA
rnacentral:rRNA from 1 species